rnacentral:rRNA from 1 species
UACGUAGGGACCAAGCGUUGUUCGUAUUUACUGGGCGUAAAGGGCGCGUAGGCGGCCUGCUAAGUCGAACGUGAAAUCCCCGAGCUCAACUCGGGAACUGCGUCCGAUACUGACAAGCUUGAAUCCGGGAGAGGGAUGCGGAAUUCCAGGUGUAGCGGUGAAAUGCGUAGAUAUCUGGAGGAACACCGGUGGCGAAGGCGGCAUCCUGGACCGGCAUUGACGCUGAGGCGCGAAAGCUAGGGGAGCAAACGGG